UAUGAUUUCAAACAACUGAACGACGAAAAUGAUCCGUCGUCGCCUCUUUGCAGUAGUUGCCGAUACAUCCUUGUCGGAGAGAUUGCAACUAGAUCUGUCACUCCCUCUGAGUCUCGAUAGAGCUCUGGUCCAAGCUGGCCAGAAGGAAACUGUUGACCAGCAACAACCUUGUUGGUCAAAGUUCUGCAACGUCAGACCGCUGUACAACUUCACACAAAGGGUUGCGUCCUCAAGCAUGAACUCGCCUGCCUUCUAGGCCAACUCACAUUCGCGUCCCACCAUCUGCCCUACGCUGCCUGUCUGCCCUUUUCAAGACCACAUCUGAGAUAUCAUCCCGCAGAAUGCUGAACCUCUCAGACUCAACCAAGGAUGACCUGAGCUGGUGGCACCAGACUCUGUCAACAUAUUGAAGGUGGGCACACACCGUUUAGUUCUCCUGUGGUCAUUGCACUCGUCAGCACCCUCUACUUAUCUGUGUCCAGCACCACUUACUGUUCGGAGCAUCACACUUGCCAGUCAACUCCAAUGCCAGUGGCUGAUGCUCUGUCCGGACCAAGUUGGAUGCCUUCAGAACCUUUGCUCCCACAGCUGCGGAGCGGCCUGACGCCAAGGUCAAGCCGAUCACUGCAGCAAAGUUCCUCCUUCUAUUUGGGCAAGCUCCCUUUGCUGCACGAGCAAUUUUCCGGCGUAGAAUGCGGGACACCGGCAAGGAGCUCAUCAAGAUAAUUGUCUUACUGCGAGACAUUGGCUGUGUUCACAUCUGUGUUGCUUGAACUCUUCUCAGUAUCCUCUUUAUCACAUGCUGUC